UACAGAGGUCCCAAGCGUUGUUCGGAUUCACUGGGCGUAAAGGGUGCGCAGGUGGGUUUGCAAGUUCGAUGUGAAAGCCCCCGGGCUUAACCCGGGAAUGGCAUUGAAUACUGCAGAUCUGGAGGAUCGGAGGGGGGACUGGAAUUCUUGGUGUAGCAGUGAAAUGCGUAGAUAUCAAGAGGAACACCAGUGGCGAAGGCGAGUCCCUGGACGAUACCUGACACUGAGGCACGAAAGCUAGGGGAGCAAACAGG
rnacentral:rRNA from 1 species